GUCUACAGCCAAACUACCCUGAAAGUGCCCGAUCUCGUCUGAUCUCGGAAGCUAAGCAGGGUCGGGCCGAGUUAGUACUUGGAAGGGAGAAAUUAGCUGGACA
rnacentral:rRNA from 1 species